AUAACUUCUGGAAACGGAUGCUAAACCGGAUAGGUAGCAGACAAGCAUUUGACUGCUAUUAAAGUGGCUAAGGCCAUGAACAUGGAUGGACCUGUGGUGCAUUAGCUAGUUGGUGAGGUAACGGCCCACCAAGGCGACGAUGCAUAGCCGGCCUGAGAGGGCGGACGGCCACAUUGGGACUGAGACACGGCCCAAACUCCUACGGGAGGCAGCAUG
rnacentral:rRNA from 1 species